rnacentral:rRNA from 1 species
AGAGUUUGAUCAUGGCUCAGAGCGAACGCUGGCGGCGUACUUAACACAUGCAAGUCGAACGAGGAGCGCCGGUGUAGCAAUACAUCGGUGCUUCUAGUGGCGCACGGGUGAGUAACACGUGGGCAACCUGCCCUCGAGUCCGGGAUACCCUCUCGAAAGGGAGGCUAAUACCAGAUACGUUCCUCGGAUCGCAAGAUCUGGGGAGGAAAGGUGGCGAAAGCUACCGCUCUUGGAGGGGCUCGCGGCCUAUCAGCUAGUUGGUGAGGUAACGGCUCACCAAGGCUAUGACGGGUAGCUGGUCUGAGAGGACGACCAGCCACACGGGAACUGAGACACGGUCCCGACUCCUACGGGAGGCAGCAGUGGGGAAUUUUCCGCAAUGGGCGAAAGCCUGACGGAGUGACGCCGCGUGGGGGACGAAGGCCUUCGGGUCGUAAACCCCUGUCAGAGGGAAAGAAGGGUCGCCGACCUAACACGUCGGUGAUCUGACGGUACCUUCAGAGGAAGCCCCGGCCAACUCUGUGCCAGCAGCCGCGGUAAGACAGAGGGGGCAAGCGUUGCUCGGAAUCACUGGGCGUAAAGGGCGCGUAGGCGGGAUGGCAAGUCGGUCGUGAAAUCCUUCGGCCCAACCGAAGAACGUCGGCCGAUACUGCCGUUCUUGAGGGAUGCAGAGGAGACUGGAAUUCCCGGUGUAGCGGUGAAAUGUGUAGAGAUCGGGAGGAACACCGGUGGCGAAGGCGGGUCUCUGGGCAUUUUCCUGACGCUGAGGCGCGAAAGCGUGGGGAGCAAACGGGNNUAGAUACCCCGGUAGUCCACGCUGUAAACGAUGACGACUANGUGUGGGGUGGGUUAGUCCAUUCCGUGCCGCANCUAACGCAUUAANUCGUCCGCCUGGGGAGUANGNCCGCAAGGUUGAAACUCAAAUGANU